rnacentral:tRNA from 1 species
GCGGACGUGGCGAAACUGGUAGACGCAAGGGACUUAAAAUCCCUCGGGAAACCGUACGGGUUCGAUUCCCGUCGUCCGCA